rnacentral:rRNA from 1 species
GCAGCCGCCGCGGGAAUACAGAGGGUGCGAGCGUUAAUCGGAUUUACUGGGCGUAAAGCGUGCGUAGGCGGCUUUUUAAGUCGGAUGUGAAAUCCCUGAGCUUAACUUAGGAAUUGCAUUCGAUACUGGGAAGCUAGAGUAUGGGAGAGGAUGGUAGAAUUCCAGGUGUAGCGGUGAAAUGCGUAGAGAUCUGGAGGAAUACCGAUGGCGAAGGCAGCCAUCUGGCCUAAUACUGACGCUGAGGUACGAAAGCAUGGGGAGCAAACAGGAUUAGAUACCCGCGUAGUCCCUGUCUCUUAUAA